AAUUGCUGCCGUCUAUUCAUCAUUAUAACCGACCUCGGAACUCGCUUCGAGGUGACGAUUCAAUACGACGGCUUUUCUUCUUCCCCAAGUUUCUCAUCCUUUUUGUCUCUUCUAUCUCUUUUACUCUUUUUUCGUCUUCUCCAACGAAAUCUCUUUCUCAUCUCUUUCUUUCUUCUGUUGUCUUCUACCUUUCGCCUUUUCUUUUCAUCUCUCUUUUCUUUUCACUUUUCGCCUCUUCUAUUUUUCUCUUCUUUUCUGAACAAUGGCUUUGGUUCCUCCUCUUCCUUCUCAUUCUUCUCUAGACUACACCAUGCUCAAAUCUUCCAUCUCGGUUUAUAUUAGGUCCUUCUCUUAUAGACGAACCAUCCUCUGCUAACUCUCUUUUUUCUAGUG
rnacentral:lncRNA from 1 species